UGGGUUCCAGCCCCGCGUUGGGCUCUGGGCUGACAGUGCGGGGCCUCCUUGGGAUCCUCUCCUCCUCCCUCCCUCUGCCCCCGUCCCCCUCCUUCUCACGUGUGCCCUCUCGGUCUCUCAAAAUAAAUAGUAGAUGAGCGAAAAAUAAAGAAAAAGUAAAACAAAGAAACCAAAAAGGCAGCGGGUCAACCCCCGGCCGCAGGGGCCCUUCCUUCCCCACUCCCAUCCCAACACGACCAGCUCAAAGUCUGCCAGUGUGUUUGGCUUGGGACAUGGUUUUGGGGGUCCUGGAAUCCUGCCGGGGUGGGGGCGGGGGCUGCAGGGGAGGAAAUGUAAGUGAAAGUGGAGGCACAGUCUCCUUUACAAGGACUGCCGCACCUUGUGUCUGCCCCGAACAGGUCGUAACAUCGACACCAUUUCCUCGUUGAAUAGUGACUCAGAGAACAUCUGCCCCCCCCCCCCCAGCGGCCAAAGGUUGCUGUCCCCCAGGAGGCAGCCCGGGACAGCCUCGGGAUCAGAACUGGUUGGGAGGCCAGAGAUGUCCUCUAGGCCUGCAGUCCGGAGCCCCCUCCUCCAGGGGGCCCUCUGGAACUUCCCCACCAGGUGCACCUCUCCUGCGUACUCGUCUGUCUUAGCCGCCAGGCAAGUAGUCCACGGCAAGUGCAGGGCCGGGUGGAAUUCACACGUGCGUCCUGAGCACCUGCUCGUGGCUUCUUAGUGACGGCUGGCACCGAGUUCCAAGAGCAACAGAUUACCAAGUAGGUGCUGCUGGGGAGUUGGAGCACGAGGUGAGGCGGGAGCACGAGUGAGUUGAAUUCAUGUUCUCUUGACCUUCCUCGGUGGGAAUCCUGUCCCUCUAAAUCAGGGAUGCUGGGAGAGACUGCGGCUGUGCGGGCGGGAGCCAGGGCCCCUGCCCUCGGGGCGGGGGACGCCUGCCUGCUCGCCUUGCACCUGCCCCGACAGAGCCCAGUUUGUUCCUCAGAGGCGGGGAAGCUCCUGGGAGCCAUGUGAGCUCAGCGGCAGGGGCUCCUGCGUCCAGCAGUGGAGGACGGCGGCCGCCCAAAAAGACGUGUCCACAUCCUCACCCCGGUGCCUGGGAAUGGGACCUUAUUUGGAAAAAGGGGUCUCUGCAGAUGUCUUGAAUUACGGAUCCUGACAUGAGCGGGUCACCCUGGAUUAUCUGGGGGGGGGUCCCUAAAGCCAGUGACCACCAUCCUCAUAGGAGAGGCACAGAGGACAGACAGGCAGACACAGGGUGAGGCCACGGGACUCGAGCGAGGGGGGCCACAGCCCAGGAGAGCCCGGAGACAGCAGGAGCCGAAGGAGGCAGGAAGCACCCUCCCCGAGAGCACCUGAGGGUGAGCACGGCCCUGCCCACACCUGCAUUCUGGACUUCCAGCCUCAGAACACUGAGAAUAAAGUUCUGCUAGGUUUUUUUAAAAAUUUUUUUAAAUGUUUAUUUAUUUUUGAGAGAGAGAGCAGGAGUGGGGGAGGGGCAGAGAGAGAGGGAGACCCAGAAUCCGAAGCAGGCUCCGGGCUCCGAGCCGUCAGCACGGAGCCCGACGCGGGGCUUGAACCCACAGACCGCGAGAUCACGACCUGAGCCAAAAUCAAGAGUUGGUCGCUCAACGCUCAACGGACGGAGCCCCCCAGGCGCCCCUGAGCAAUUCUCCUUAAGCUGGAGCUUUGUGCAGGGGCAACAUUGUAGCCAAGGAGGUUUCUCCGGGGUACCAUUAUUGCUAGUUGAAGACUUUCCCCGGGGCACCAGGCUGGCUCGGGUCAGUGGAACAUCCGACGCUUGACCUCAGGGGCAUGAGUUGGAGCCCCACGUUGGGCAUGCAGCCGACUUUGGAAAACAACGCCUUUUGGAUUCUUUGUAACUUGUUUUUCUCUCAGAAUAGUCUCCCCACGGAAGAUGCAUCCAAUUCCAAAAGUGUCCUGUGUCCUCCACCCCCCAGGAACCCUCUACUCGGGGUCCUCUCGCACCCCAAGAUACAGCAGGCUAAGACAGCGAACGGACCCAUGGUCAGAGAGUCAGGAGAAGCCCGGUGAUGCGGUUACGGCUGAGGGUCCCUGUGACCUUGUGCCAAAACGUCAGCCAGGCUCAGGGUCCUUCGAAGACUUGACUGGGGCUGGGGGAUUCACAGGCCGCCAGCUGCUGCUGGCCGCGGGCAGGACGCCUGGGCUCCGGGCCACACUGACCGCCUGCCUGGCCAGGCUGCUUCAGUGUCCUUACUGCCUGGGUGGCGGCUUCCCCAGGGCGAGGGGUCUGAGACAGCAAGGUAUAUGCCAACACCCCCACUGUGCCAGGAGGUGGGGUCUCUGGGGGCCCCCUGGGGGCCUGGCCACCACGGCCACAUGGGAAUAAACCACGGCGGGAAACACUGAGGUCAGACCCAGGGCAGAACUUUCUUACUGUAGCACCAAACCCUGGAACCUUCCGGGUCUCCGGGUCCCUGCUGCAUAGUCCCUUCACGACUCUCACGGGGGCUCUACGUGGGGGACGAUUCCUCGGCGCCUAAUGAAUGGCCGACCUGGGUCUCCGAGGGGGUGAGCAACCCCUCAGAGCCACUCGCUGUAGGCCCGGAACCUUCUUUCUGAUUCCACACCUCAGCCU